rnacentral:lncRNA from 1 species
UGCAGCAUUGUUUAAUAUGGUGGGGAAUCUCACGCUGUCUCGGGAUUUGGUGGAUCCAUAUUCGACGAUAUCCUCUGAAUUUUGCGACACUUUGUCAGGAUUCCAUCAGUGUCUGCUCCAUCCUAAUAUUUCUGAUUUGUUUCCCUGGCUAAGUAGGUUUGACCUGCAAGGAAUAAGGAGGAGAAUGGACGGAUAUUUAGGCAAAGCCAUAGAAAUAAUCUCCGGAUUUGUGAAGGAGCGUGUGAAAGAGAGACAAAAAACGCAGAAAUUAUCAUCAGAGCAAAAGAAGGACUUCUUGGAUGUGCUGUUAGAUUAUAGGGGAACCGGAAGGGAUGAACUAGAUUCACUAUCAGAGCACCAAGUCACAAUUUUCCUAAUGGUAAGUACUUCUAAUUGUAUAUUUUGCGGAUUAGUAUUUGGUGAAAACACUAAUUUUACAAGUGCAUAACAUGCAGGAAAUGUUCAUUGCUGGAACACACACGUCAAGCACCACGACUGAGUGGGCGCUGAGUGAGCUCUUGCAGAAUCCUGAUCAAAUGAAGAAGGUUAAAGCCGAGCUUGCUAGAGUCGUUGGAGCCAAGACUAGACUACAAGAGAGUGACAUUGAUAAUCUCCCUUACUUGCAAGCAAUUAUGGAGGAAACGCUACGCCUCCAUCCUCCAGCUCCAAUUUUACUUCCAAGAAAGGCGGCUCAAGAUACCACUUUCAUGGGCUAUAACAUCCCGAAAAAUACACAAGUUCUAGUCAAUAGCUGGGCAAUUGGAAGAGAUGAGGAGAAUUGGAAGGAUGCUUUGUCAUUUAGGCCUGAAAGGUUUCUCAACUCGAAUAUUAAUUCCAAGGGUCAGAACUACGAGCUUUUACCAUUUGGCGCUGGGAGGAGGAUUUGUCCGGGCAUUCCAUUAGCUCAUCGCAUGGUGCCCUUAGUCCUCGGCUCCCUGCUUCACCAUUUUGAGUGGGAGCUUUGUGAUGGUCUGAAGAAGAUAGACAUGACGGAGACGUUGGGGGCAACUGCAACUAAACGAGAACUCUUGCGUGCAAUCCCAAAGCUCAAGACAAUAUAAAUACAGAGUUUGUGUGAUCGAAAUAAUGUCAAGUGUGUUUACUUUUAUUAUGUUUAACCAUUUCAACGCGUUAAAAGAUUGUUGCCAAUAAUCAUUUGUCACACGGUGAAUAUGUCAGGUUUUGAGGGCCUCAAGUCUGCAAAUUCUGUCCUUUAAAAUUUUUCUGAACUGUCAGUACUUCUUACGAGUUCAGAUUAUGUAUCAUUAGAUACCGUUAUGGCUUUAUUAUCACCUUGAUACUCUUGCUGAUCAUUUUGAUAUGUGACUCAUUGGGCGAUCAAUCGGAAAAUUAUCAGAUAUCUGUAAAUGUAUGUAAAGAAGGAAAAACAUGCAUUUUUCAAGCAGUGUUGUAAAAAAUGAAAAUCAUCAUUCAUCGUAAUACCAGAGUUUUAGAACACUAGUUGUUAAACAACCUUGUAAAGUUUGAAAAUCUAUGCAUUCGACUUAACUGAACACUGCCAAUUUCAAAUAUACAACUAGUCGAGCCGCGCAACACACAUUAACUCCACAUUGUCCGCCUGGGCCGUGACCAAACUCGCAUGGAUUUAUUUUUGGACUCCUCCCGAAAGACCUCAUACUAAUGGGGUUGUUUUGGCUGCUUAUAUUCAAAACAAAUCUUUUCCUUCUUUAUGAUGUCGGACUACGGUUGACACCCACUCAACAUGUACAACUACUUUUGGGUGUGAUCAAUCGAGUGAAAAUCGGAUACAAACACUUUCUGCAGAGAACUUGUACUAAUAGUUUGCCAUGCAUAUUAGUUCUUCUGGCUAAAUGAGCAGUUCUGGAACCAUUCUGCUGUGUGUGUAAUGAUGCAACUGAAACUUUAUUUUGUUUAAGCAAGUAGUGGCCCUUUAUCGUGGUGUCACAAGCCCCUUUCGCUGAGGCCUUGGCAUGCAGAGAGGUUUUAAGUUGGUCGAAGAGGAUUGCCAGAUGCUCUGCAGAAUGUUAGUUCCAAGGCACAUGUUUAGUGUUUUAUUUCUCUUUUUUGAACUUUAUUAAAUAACAAAAGAUUCGAUUGUGUUAUCAGUUUCCUGAAAAUUGAACUUGGGAACAGACGUAAUUAGUAUAGUAAUGAGUAGCACGUUAUAGAGGCCGAGACGUGGCAGUUGGAUUCCUUCUUGGUGGAUUGUACUGUCUUUUAGGUCCGUGAACUUGGCGUGCUCAAUAAUUGAAGGAGCGUGCUGCUUCGCUAAAAUGUGCCCAAACAUGGCACAGAACAUGAAACACAACUUUGGAAAUCAGCGGAGUGUCACUUAUAGUAUAAAGUAAGAAAUCAGUUAGAACGCGAAUGGAGAAAAAAAUAUCACCCUGUCAGUUGUCACUAGCUGAUAAUAUAGAAUAUGAUGGGGCUGACAAUUUGGAAAAUGAAGGGCGUUAAUGAUUUACGUCGACUCAUGGCUGGCUCUGGCUAUAAACUGUGCUCAUAACUUCAACAUGCUAGCCGACGUAGUGUGUUCACAGGUUCAGUUGCUAAGAAGUUCACAAGUCUCAGCUUCUCAGGUAUGCAGAAUUUUUGCAGAAUCUCAAAAAUAAUUUCACAGAAUUUUUGGGGAAUUUUUCACUUUGAGGAAUUGAUUCAUGCAUGUAGACAUUACAGGUAUAACUGUUCAAUUUAUAAGAAAUUUUAUUUUGACUCUGAACAGCAGAUCUGAAAUUGUGUCAUGGAGUGGAACUGGAACUAUGUCAUAUGGUCCGCAUUGAUAUGUUUGAUUUCACUUGUUUGGAGCUUGAGGAAGAAUAGUUACAGACGUUCAAAGCUCCCUCCUGGCCCUAAGGGCUGGCCAUUGUUCGGAAAUCUUUUUGAUCUUGGAAGCUUGCCUCACAGGAGUUUGGAAGCACUAAAACAGGACUAUGGUCCUGUUGUGUGGUUAGAUCUUGGCAGCGUCAAGACCAUGGUGCUUCUUUCUGCUGCCCCUGUCGAAGAGUUAUUCAAGAGUCAUGAUCUCUCCUUCAUCAACCGGAUCACUAAUGAUGCAAUGAGGUCACAUGAUUACUACCAGAGCUCUAUAGCAUUUGGUCCAUAUAGUGUCUACUGGCGCACCUUGAGGCGGAUAUGUACCUCUGAGCUCUUUGCAAAUAAGAGGCUCAAUGAAACGAUGAUGAAUAGGCAAAAAAGCGUGGAUGAAAUGUUGCUAUGGAUCCAGAAGGAAGCAGAAAGAGGUACUAGUGGAAUCAUAGUUCGACAUUAUGUGUUUCCAGCAUUGUUCAACAUGAUUGGGAAUGUCACGCUGUCUCAGGACCUAGUGGAUCCACAGUCGAAGACCUCCUCUGAUUUUGGCAUCGCGUUGGAUGGUUUCCAUCAAUGUCUAGGCCGUCCCAAUAUAUCUGAUCUGUUACCCUGGCUAAGAAGGUUCGACCUCCAAGGAAUAAGGAGGAAAAUGGAUCAAGAUUUAGGAAAAUGCCUAGAAAUUAUUUCAGUAUUCGUCAAGGAGCGUGUGAAGCAGAGGCAACUACAAGAAUCAUCACAACAGAGGCAACUAC